rnacentral:rRNA from 1 species
AGGAAAUAGAUACCCUGGUAGUCCAUGCCCUAAACGAUGAUCACUUGAUGUCGGCCCUUAGGGUCGGUGUCGUAGCUAAACGCGUUAAGUGAUCCACCUGGGGAGUACGCUCGCAAGGGUGAAACUCAAAGGAAUUGACGGGGGCCCGCACAAGCAGUGGAGCAUGUGGUUUAAUUCGAUGCAACGCGAAGAACCUUACCUAGGCUUGAAAGGCUCUCUAAACCCAUGAAAGUGGGCUACCCGCAAGGGGGGAGUACAGGUGCUGCAUGGCUGUCGUCAGCUCGUGCCGUGAGGUGUUUGGUUAAGUCCAGCAACGAGCGCAACCCUGGGUCUAGUUACCAGCGAGUAAUGUCGGGAACUCUAGAUCGACUGCCUACGCAAGUAGUGAGGAAGGUGGGGACGACGUCAAGUCAUUAUGGCCCUUACGCCUAGGGCUACACACGUGCUACAAUGGCAUCUACAACGCGCUGCAAUACCGCGAGGUGGAGCGAAUCGCU